CAGCCGCCACGGUAAUACGAAGGGUGCAAGCGUUAAUCGGAAUUACUGGGCGUAAAGCGUGCGUAGGUGGUGGUUUAAGUCCGUUGUGAAAGCCCUGGGCUCAACCUGGGAAUUGCAGUGGAUACUGGGUCACUAGAGUGUGGUAGAGGAUAGUGGAAUUUCCGGUGUAGCAGUGAAAUGCGUAGAGAUCGGAAGGAACAUCUGUGGCGAAGGCGACUAUCUGGGCCAACACUGACACUGAGGCACGAAAGCGUGGGGAGCAAACAGGAUUAGAUACCCCGGUAGUCCCUGUCUCUUAUAC
rnacentral:rRNA from 1 species